CCUGGAGAAACAGCUUCUGACAAGGACAAAAAUCAGUAUUGGAUGCUGUGAUUGUCAGCACCUCAGAUGGCACUGAUUUAGGAACAGACAUGACCCUGCUAUAGAAAUCACUGCAUGGGCUCAGAAACACUUCCAGAAAUCACUGUCUGUGAACACAGCUCACUGUUCUAUGAUGGUUAAAGAUUCUUCUUCUUCCUAAAAUGUUGACUUUACUCAGCUGAUGUUCUAUUGUGAUUAUAAUCUGUGUUUAUGUGAUCUCUAAAUCUAUGCAUUCUGUUGUUAUUUAUGUUUUACACAGUGUUCCACGUUUUUCAAAACUGGGGUUGUGCAAUGAAUCUGAUACUUGGCAGGAAACAUCUUCCUCCCUUCCUAUGCUUUCUGGAGCCAUGGUUGCUAAAAUUUAAGCUUUGCCAAGACUUUCCUCAUGAGCCCACAGUUUAAAGCUGUUUUUACUGGGAUUUUGUUCAGAGAAUGCUGAUGCUGGAUCACAGAAAGACGUCUGAUUCAGGGGAAGUAGAUUUUUGGGAGGUGCCACUGGUGGAAGCCACAUGAUAGAUGGAGAUCUGGGUAAACUUGAAAGAAGACGCCUUUUACCUGACAUCCACUGGAUCCCUCUCCUACAUUCAGACCACUCCUUUAGUUUCAUGUGAAGAUAUCUCACAUUCAGUUGGCAUCUGGAAUCCACCUACCAAGCCUCACCAGCCUAACCUCUCCUGGAUUCUGGUUCGAACCUGCGGGUAACUUCCCUUCCAAACUGCCAGUGUCUCCUGCCUGCCUCCCUGUAUUGCACUCAGUACUCACCUGGACCCCUGUCUCACGCCAUCCCCCCUCCAAGCAAACUCCACCUGCAAAGAUGUAAGGCAGCUCAAUGAAAUUACUCUUGGAUUAACUAACAACUCUCUUUUGGAUAGCUUCCCCUGCCCAGUCUCUGCACCCAGUCGUCACAGUGAUUUUGUCUUACUUUAGUUAAAGUUAUAGUCUCCUCUACCUCAGACGUCUAGUUUAUGUUUCUUCUGAAUAAUAGUCUGAGUUUUCCGUUGCUAACAAGCGUUGUGAAUAAAGUUCUUUUGUUGCACCGCC